GUUUGGAUCGAUCUUUGGAGGUGUUUUAAACCAAAAUGAUCGAGCAGAAUUACCUUCUCCAAUCUGAUAAUAGUACUUGGUGUUUACCUCAAGGUCCUUGACAAGGCAUGAAUGAAGAAAACCAGACUUGUAGUUGUAAAAGGUGUAAUUUUUAACCGUAGAGCCGUGUGCAGUAAAGUCAUACUUCUUCUUUGAUGUUCCAUAUUUUACAUGGUUUGACCCUGGUUCACUAGGUGUAACCCACAUUAUAAUUACAGCUUUUCCAUC
rnacentral:lncRNA from 1 species